AUACGUAGGGAGCGAGCGUUGUCCGGAAUUACUGGGUGUAAAGGGAGCGUAGGCGGGAGUGCAAGUCAGAUGUGAAAUACAUGGGCUCAACCCAUGGGCUGCAUUUGAAACUGCAUUUCUUGAGUGAAGUAGAGGUAAGCGGAAUUCCUGGUGUAGCGGUGAAAUGCGUAGAUAUCAGGAGGAACACCGGUGGCGAAGGCGGCUUACUGGGCUUUUACUGACGCUGAGGCUUGAAAGCGUGGGGAGCAAACAGGAUUAGAUACCCUGGUAGUCCACGCUGUAAACGAUGAUUACUAGGUGUGGGGGGACUGACCCCUUCCGUGCCGCAGUUAACACAAUAAGUAAUCCACCUGGGGAGUACGGCCGCAAGGUUGAAACUCAAAUGAAUUGACGGGG
rnacentral:rRNA from 1 species